rnacentral:rRNA from 1 species
GAUGAACGCUGACAGAAUGCUUAACACAUGCAAGUCUUUGGCGAAGCUGUGCUUGCACAGCCUAGCCAAGGCGGACGGGUGAGUAACGCGUAAGGAACUUGCCCUGCAGUCAGGGAUAACAGACGGAAACGACUGAUAAGACCUGGUAAAGUCAGGCGGACUCAUGUCCAGCCUGAUGAAAAGAGAUGCUGCAGGUGAGCCUUGCGUCCUAUUAGGUUGUUGGUGGGGUAACGGCCCACCAAGGCGAUGAGAGGUAGCCGGCCUGAGAGGGUGGACGGCCACAAGGGGACGGAGAUACGGCCAUUACUCCUACGGGAGGCAGCAGGGGGGAAUAUUGGACAAUGGGGGCAACCCUGAUCCAGCAAUUCUGUGUGCACGAUGAAGGUUUUCGGAUUGUAAAGUGCUUUCAGCAGGGAAGAAAAAAAUGACGGUACCUGCAGAAGAAGCGACGGCUAAAUACGUG